AUACGUAGGUGACAAGCGUUAUCCGGAUUUACUGGGCGUAAAGGGCGUGUAGGCGGUCUUGCAAGUCAGAAGUGAAAUUCCUGAGCUCAACUCGGGCGCUGCUUCUGAAACUGCAGGACUUGAGUGCUGGAGGGGAUAGCGGAAUUCCUAGUGGAGCGGUAAAAUGCGCAGAUAUUAGGAAGAACACCGGUGGCGAAGGCGGAUAUCUGGACAGUAACUGACGCUGAGGCGCGAAAGCGUGGGGAGCAAACAGGAUUAGAUACCCGGGUAGUCCACGCCGUAAACGAUGAAUACUAGGUGUAGGGGGUAUCGACUCCCUCUGUGCCGCAGUUAACACAAUAAGUAUUCCGCCUGGGGAGUACGGCCGCAAGGUUGAAACUCAAAGGAAUUGGCGGGG
rnacentral:rRNA from 1 species